rnacentral:rRNA from 1 species
AGAGUUUGAUCCUGGCUCAGAAUCAACGCUGGCGGCGUGCCUAACACAUGCAAGUCGAACGAGAAAGUGGAGCAAUCCAUGAGUACAGUGGCGACCGGGUGAGUAACACGUGACUACCUGCCCUUGAGUGGGGGAUAACUCCGGGAAACCGGGGCUAAUACCGCAUAAUAUCGAAAGAUCAAAGGAGCAAUCCGCUUUUGGAGGGGGUCGCGGCUGAUUAGCUAGUUGGUAGGGUAAUGGCCUACCAAGGCAAAGAUCGGUAUCCGGCCUGAGAGGGCGCACGGACACACUGGAACUGAAACACGGUCCAGACUCCUACGGGAGGCAGCAGUGGGGAAUUUUGCGCAAUGGGGGAAACCCUGACGCAGCAACGCCGCGUGGAGGAUGAAGCCCCUUGGG